rnacentral:rRNA from 1 species
AGUGGAUGGGGAGCAACCUAGUUGUGCGUGUGUAAGGGUAGUGCCAAGAAAAGCGAUGAUCAUGUUGAAAAUCAAUUCCCGGUACCCGAAACCGACACAGGUGGGCAAGUAGAGAAUACUAAGGGGCGCGAGGUAACUCUCUCCAAGGAACUCGGCAAAAUGACCCCGUAACUUAGGGAGAAGGGGUGCCACCGAGAGGUGGUCGCAGUGAAGAGGCCCAGGCGACUGUUUAGCAAAAACAUAGGUCUCUGCAAACUCGAAAGAGGAGGUAUAGGGGCUGACGCCUGCCCAGUGCCGGAAGGUUAAAGAAGUUGGUCAGUUUUAGGAUGAAGCUAGCGACUGAAGCCCCGGUGAACGGCGGCCGUAACUAUAACGGUCCUAAGGUAGCGAAAUUCCUUGUCGGGUAAGUUCCGACCCGCACGAAAGGCGUAACGAUCUGGGCGCUGUCUCGGAGAGAGGCUCGGCGAAAUAGGAUUGUCUGUGAAGAUACGGACUACCUGCAUUUGGACAGAAAGACCCUAUGAAGCUUUACUAUAGCUUGGAAUUGUGUUCGGGCUUCCUGUGCGCAGGAUAGGUGGGAGGCGUAGAAGGUAUUCUUGUGGGGAUACUGGAGCCAACGGUGAGAUACCACUCUCAGGAGGCUAGAAUUCUAACUUAAUUAAGGACAGUUUCAGGUGGGUAGUUUGACUGGGGCGGUCGCCUCCAAAAAGGUAACGGAGGCGUACAAAGGUUCCCUCAGACUGGUUGGAAAUCAGUCGAAGAGUGCAAAGGCAGAAGGGAGCUUGACUGCGAGAAGUACAGUUCGAGCAGGGUGGAAACACGGUCUUAGUGAUCCGACGGUGCUGUGUGGAAGGGCCGUCGCUCAACGGAUAAAAGUUACUCUAGGAUUACAGGCUGAUCUCCCCCAAGAGUUCACAUCGACGGGGAGGUUUGGCACCUCGAUGUCGGCUCAUCGCAACCUGGGGCGGAAGUACGUCCCAAGGGUUGGGCUGUUCGCCCAUUAAAGCGGUACGUGAGCUGGGUUCAGAACGUCGUGAGACAGUUCGGUCCAUAUCCGAUGUAGGCGUGAGAAUAUUGAGAGGAGCCUUCCUUAGUACGAGAGGACCGGGAAGGACGCACCGCUGGUGUACCUGUUAUGAUGCCAAUUGUAAACGCAGGGUAGCCAAGUGCGGAGAGGAUAACCGCUGAAAGCAUCUAAGUGGGAAGCCCACCUCAGGAUGAGUAUUCUGGUGUAAGGUCACGGGAAGACGACCCGUAAAUAGGCACGAGGUGGAAGUGCAGAGAUGUAUGAAGCCGAAGUGUACUAAUAGACCGUCGGCUUGACC